ACCGGCGGCUCGAGUGGUGGCCACUAUUACUGGGCUUAAAGCGUUCGUAGCUGGCUUGUUAAGUCUCUGGGGAAAUCUUCCGGCUCAACCGGAAGGCGUCUCAGGGAUACUGGCAGGCUAGGGACCGGAAGAGGUGAGAGGGACUCCAGGGGUAGGACUGAACUCGAGGGAUCCUUGGGGGAAGAACGGUGGCGAAGGCGACAAACUGGGAAAGCUCCGACAGUGAGGUACGAGAGUUGGGGGAGCAAAGAG
rnacentral:rRNA from 1 species